CCCGCCUCCUCCAAGGUGACCGUCCCCCACCGCCCCGAACCCGGCCCGCCCUCUGCCCUCAGCUCUCUCCACUGAAUUUGGAGACCCAAUAGGAGAAUAACAGCUGAAUACCUGAUACUGUUUACUUUACAGCGGCGGGACAGGAGGGAUUUUUAACCUGUCAAGCUCCAACUUCUAAAAGGUGGCCAAAACAAUCCUUUAUGUUCAUAUUAUAAAUUUUAUUGGUCCAAGUUUGCUCAAAAGUGAUGAUGGAAAGAUUUCUGAAACAAAAAGUAUCUACAGCAGCUUUUGAAGAAGCAUCCCUUUGUUCAAAACAGGAAAAUCCAUAUGAAGGCACUCAAUUGACGGAGUAGGUUUAAAUCCAGCAGGUGGAAUGGACUUGCAACCAGUAGCAAAAAUAAGAAUGUC